UACGGCCAUAUCACGUUGAAACAUCGUUUCUCGUACGAUCACUGAAGUUAAGCAACGACAAGCUUGGUCAAUACUUAGACGGGUGACUGCUUGGAAAUACCAGGUUCUGUA